CCUCACUGCUGAAGACUGGAGGCAGAAUGGGGGAUCAGCCUGGGAAUGGAGGUGGAGCUCCUAGAUUCAUGACAAGUUUGUCAGCCCUUGUCUCAGGCGGACGGUGAUUUUGGUCGCGCGGUUCCUUUUAUCUUUAUUUAUAGGUCUUGGUCAGAGGGGAUUUCAGAAACGUCACUUCCUGUCUCUUUAUUCCUCUUACUUUCACCAGAAGACAUCAAGGAAUCCUUCCUGUCCCCCCCUUGGUCAGUCCUAUAUCAUUACAUAGUUGGUCUCAGUCUAUUUCAGUAGAACCCUCAGGUGGUCCCUGUGGUGGUCUUACUACCGUCUUCUAAACCCAGCCUAAAUAGGAUAGCAAGUUAAUAUUAAGCAAGAACUCUUGUUGCCGUUAGCAACUAGGGAGUCCAUAUUGGAAGCCAAGCUGUCACCCUGCCUUAGAAGACAAUGCCAUGAGGGAAAAGACAUGGAAUGAAUGAUAAAGGAGCUUGGUUCCUUGCCCAGGGCCUUGAGGCCUUCUGCUAUUUCCAUAACAAAUAAGUCAAUGCUGAGAACCAAUUUGACCAAUGGACCAUUAGAGACAUAUCCACUUACCGGUAUAGAUGAUGAUGUCAUCCCUCCGGCCACACCCGUGAGGAUCCUGCCAAGAAGUAGCAUGGAGAUAUGUUGUGCGCUGCCCAUAAGUAGGAAACCCACGGCUGCCGGAAAAGCUGAGCACAUGAUACUGAG